ACCUGGGUGGUACAAAUGGUUAACACACUUGGCUGUUAACCAAAUGGUUGGAGGUUUAAGUCCACUCACAGGCA
rnacentral:tRNA from 1 species